CACUCCUGCGGGAGGCAGCAGUGGGGAAUAUUGCACAAUGGGCGCAAGCCUGAUGCAGCGACGCCGCGUGGGGGAUGAAGGCCUUCGGGUUGUAAACUCCUUUCGCUAGGGACGAAGCUUUUUUGUGACGGUACCUAGAUAAGAAGCACCGGCUAACUACGUGCCAGCAGCCGCGGUAAUACGUAGGGUGCGAGCGUUGUCCGGAAUUACUGGGCGUAAAGGGCUCGUAGGUGGUUUGUCGCGUCGUCUGUGAAAUUCUGGGGCUUAACUCCGGGCGUGCAGGCGAUACGGGCAUAACUUGAGUGCUGUAGGGGUAACUGGAAUUCCUGGUGUAGCGGUGAAAUGCGCAGAUAUCAGGAGGAACACCGAUGGCGAAGGCAGGUUACUGGGCAGUUACUGACGCUGAGGAGCGAAAGCAUGGGUAGCGAACAGGAUUAGAUACCCGGGUAGUCCCAUGA
rnacentral:rRNA from 1 species